UUGAAUGAAAAGCGGGGUUGUAGCUGACCCUCCCCAGGGGGUAUGUGCACACCUGUCUGUCAUUUUCUCCACAUGUGCACUUUUUGUAGGCAGCCUAAGCAAUAAUGUUCAGGUUGUUUAUGCUUUUACAUAUACAUAUACUAUAUAUGAAUGUUGUAAUGAGUGUUAUAAAAACAAAUAAUA
rnacentral:misc_RNA from 1 species